rnacentral:lncRNA from 1 species
GGAGUGUCUUGCUGUGGAGGGGCCCCAGCAGGCUGCUGGUGUCCUGGCAGCCCCACUCCCAGCAGUUGGGAGUGGAGUCUUUGCGUGGACACCCUGUGGGUUGCAGUGGACGGAGUUCAGGCAUCACAGGGGUCACGCGUGCCCUGCAGGGCCGUGCAGGACAAGCGCCGGGAAGGCUGCCGUGAGGGUGUGAUUGUGCCUUGGUCCUGCAAGACAGAAAUCUACUGAGAAAACAUUUCUGAGCACUUCUAUGUGCCUAGGACUUUGCAAGGGGCUCUGUCUGUAUUUUCUCUGUGUGAUUGUUCACAGGCAUGAGACCAACUCCCAACAUGUGUUUAGGACAGCUUUGGGACCCAGCUGGCCCAGGAGGAGUGGACCUUGCAGGUCACGGGAAAGUUCUCCAAUUUGCUAAUUAUCCCCAUCAUCCUGGGAUUUAGGGAGUUUGCCUUGGGGCCCAACCUCUGUGGGAAGACGAGCCCUCCCUCCCUCCUCUCUGCUGCCCUCUUCCCACCCUCCAUACUCUGAGACAGCUCGCGCUUCUUAGCUUUUCCUGCACUCGGGAUCAGAUAUCAGCUGUGUUCCCGAGCCGAGGGAACAGUGCCCUGUGGGUGCUGCAGGGAGCUGCUGAGGGCCCUUCCCACGUGGCUUCCGCCUCCCUCCUAGACGCUAAACCUUGGCAUCUGUCAGAUGAAACUCUGGCAUGCGGUGGCCGGAGGACUGUCACAAGUGGCCGUGCUGGUGCAACCUGCCUGAGGCAAGGCGCAGAGUGGGCCCAGCGCCCAUCACCCUCACCAAGGAAAAUGCCCUGCACACAGAUGAGAAAGACGAAUGGCCAAAGCUUUUGCUGACCUGGAAAGGAGCCUCUGAGGGAGAGGCUGUGACUUCUAGGACUAGGCCAGGUGGCUCCUGGCAAGGUGUCCACGCUGUGGCUGCCUAGGUCAUCAUUAAAGGACAUCAAUGCUGACCACCUCUCCAAGCUUUGAUGAAGGAUAGAAAGGUAAUUGCUUCAGGGCAGCCUAUGGUGUGCUUGACGUCCAGCUCAUCGAAAUAGGACGAGGGUCCUCAGGUCAGCUUUAGAAGACGUCCAAAGCUGAGAGAAAACCUGCUUUCUUGCCUUAAUCCCAGGAAUCAGGAGGCUCAGGCUAGAGCACCGCCAUGAGUUCGGGGCCAGCCUGAGCUGCAUAAUGAAUUCAAGGCCAGCCUGGAAUACUGUCCAUGGUGAGACCUUGUC